rnacentral:misc_RNA from 1 species
AAAAUGCGAUAAGUAAUGUGAAUUGCAGAAUUCAGUGAAUCAUCGAAUCUUUGAACGCACAUUGCGCCCGCCAGAAUACUGGCGGGCAUGCCUGUUCGAGCGUCAUUUCAACCCUCAAGCCCUCGGGUUUGGUGUUGGGGACCUGCGGGCUGCCCGCAGGC